rnacentral:rRNA from 1 species
UAGAGUUUGAUUAUGGCUCAGGAUGAACGCUAGCUACAGGCUUAACACAUGCAAGUCGAGGGGCAGCAUGACGAUAGCUUGCUAUUGUUGAUGGCGACCGGCGCACGGGUGAGUAACGCGUAUCCAACCUGGCCCAUGCUAGGGUACAGCCCGCCGAAAGGCGGAUUAAUGCCUUAUGUGUCCUUUGAUGACAUCAGAUUAGGAUAAAAGAUUUAUCGGCAUGGGAUGGGGAUGCGUCCGAUUAGCUAGACGGCGGGGUAACGGCCCACCGUGGCGACGAUCGGUAGGGGUUCUGAGAGGAAGGUCCCCCACAUUGGAACUGAGACACGGUCCAAACUCCUACGGGAGGCAGCAGUGAGGAAUAUUGGUCAAUGGGCGCGAGCCUGAACCAGCCAAGUAGCGUGCAGGAAGACGGCCCUAUGGGUUGUAAACUGCUUUUGUGCGGGGAUAAAGUGCCUUACGUGUAGGGUUUUGUAGGUACCGCAUGAAUAAGGACCGGCUAAUUCCGUGCCAGCAGCCGCGGUAAUACGGAAGGUCCUGGUGUUAUCCGGAUUUAUUGGGUUUAAAGGGAGCGUAGGCGGGCUGUUAAGCGUGCUGUGAAAAGCCCCGGCUCAACCGGGGGUCGUGCAGCGCGGACUGGCGGUCUGAGUGCGCGGUAGGAAGGCGGAACUCGUGUGUAGCGGUGAAUGCUUAGAUAUCACGAAGAACCCCGAUUGCGAAGGCAGCUUUCCGCAGCGUUACUGACGCUGAUGCUCGAAGGUGCGGGUAUCGAACAGGAUUAGAUACCCUGGUAGUCCGCACGGUAAACGAUGGAUGCUCGCUGUUCCGGUUUUUUAUAUUGGAGUGGCCAAGCGAAAGCGUUAAGCAUCCCACCUGGGGAGUACGCCGGCAACGGUGAAACUCAAAGGAAUUGACGGGGGCCCGCACAAGCGGAGGAACAUGUGGUUUAAUUCGAUGAUACGCGAGGAACCUUACCCGGGCUUGAACUGCAGUUGCAGGGCUAGGAGACUGGUCCAUCCCUUCGGGGCGGCUGUGGAGGUGCUGCAUGGUUGUCGUCAGCUCGUGCCGUGAGGUGUCGGCUUAAGUGCCAUAACGAGCGCAACCCUUUUUGCCAGUUGCCAUCAAGUGAAGUUGGGGACUCUGGUGAUACUGCCUCCGCAAGGAGUGAGGAAGGUGGGGAUGACGUCAAAUCAGCACGGCCCUUACGUCCGGGGCUACACACGUGUUACAAUGGCGCGUACAGAGGGCAGGCUUGUCGCAAGGCUGGUCGAAUCCUCAAACCGCGUCUCAGUUCGGAUUGGGGUCUGCAACCCGACCCCAUGAAGCUGGAUUCGCUAGUAAUCGCGCAUCAGCCAUGGCGCGGUGAAUACGUUCCCGGGCCU